UCCCUGGUGGUCAAGUAGUUAAGACUCUGCACUUCCAAUUCAGGGUGCUCGGGUUCGAUCCCUGGUUGGGGAA
rfam:Ovis aries breed Texel chromosome 2, whole genome shotgun sequence.